UUCCUUGUCGGGUAAGUUCCGACCUGCACGAAUGGCGUAAUGAUGGCCAGGCUGUCUCCACCCGAGACUCAGUGAAAUUGAACUCGCUGUGAAGAUGCAGUGUACCCGCGGCAAGACGGAAAGACCCCGUGAACCUUUACUAUAGCUUGACACUGAACAUUGAGCCUUGAUGUGUAGGAUAGGUGGGAGGCUUUGAAGUGUGGACGCCAGUCUGCAUGGAGCCGACCUUGAAAUACCACCCUUUAAUGUUUGAUGUUCUAACGUGGACCCGUAAUCCGGGUUGCGGACAGUGUCUGGUGGGUAGUUUGACUGGGGCGGUCUCCUCCUAAAGAGUAACGGAGGAGCACGAAGGUUGGCUAAUCCUGGUCGGACAUCAGGAGGUUAGUGCAAUGGCAUAAGCCAGCUUGACUGCGAGCGUGACGGCGCGAGCAGGUGCGAAAGCAGGUCAUAGUGAUCCGGUGGUUCUGAAUGGAAGGGCCAUCGCUCAACGGAUAAAAGGUACUCCGGGGAUAACAGGCUGAUACCGCCCAAGAGUUCAUAUCGACGGCGGUGUUUGGCACCUCGAUGUCGGCUCAUCACAUCCUGGGGCUGAAGUAGGUCCCAAGGGUAUGGCUGUUCGCCAUUUAAAGUGGUACGCGAGCUGGGUUUAGAACGUCGUGAGACAGUUCGGUCCCUAUCUGCCGUGGGCGCUGGAGAACUGAGGGGGGCUGCUCCUAGUACGAGAGGACCGGAGUGGACGCAUCACUGGUGUUCGGGUUGUCAUGCCAAUGGCACUGCCCGGUAGCUAAAUGCGGAAGAGAUAAGUGCUGAAAGCAUCUAAGCACGAAACUUGCCCCGA
rnacentral:rRNA from 1 species